GACGAACGCUGGCUGCGUGCCUAAUACAUGCAAGUCGAACGCACUCUCGUUUAGAUUGAAGGAGCUUGCUCCUGAUUGAUAAACAUUUGAGUGAGUGGCGGACGGGUGAGUAACACGUGGGUAACCUGCCCUAAAGUGGGGAUAACAUUUGGAAACAGAUGCUAAUACCGCAUAAAAACCUAACACCGCAUGGUGUAGGGUUGAAAGAUGGUUUCGGCUAUCACUUUAGGAUGGACCCGCGGUGCAUUAGUUAGUUGGUGAGGUAAAGGCUCACCAAGACCGUGAUGCAUAGCCGACCUGAGAGGGUAAUCGGCCACACUGGGACUGAGACACGGCCCAGACUCCUACGGGAGGCAGCAGUAGGGAAUCUUCCAC
rnacentral:rRNA from 1 species